rnacentral:rRNA from 1 species
GACGAACGCUGGCGGCGUGCCUAAUACAUGCAAGUAGAACGCUGAAGAGAGGAGCUUGCUCUUCUUGGAUGAGUUGCGAACGGGUGAGUAACGCGUAGGUAACCUGCCUGGUAGCGGGGGAUAACUAUUGGAAACGAUAGCUAAUACCGCAUAAAAUUGAUUAUUGCAUGAUAAUUAAUUGAAAGAUGCAAUUGCAUCACUACCAGAUGGACCUGCGUUGUAUUAGCUAGUUGGUGAGGUAACGGCUCACCAAGGCGACGAUACAUAGCCGACCUGAGAGGGUGAUCGGCCACACUGGGACUGAGACACGGCCCAGACUCCUACGGGAGGCAGCAGUAGGGAAUCUUCGGUAAUGGGGGGAACCCUGACCGAGCAACGCCGCGUGAGUGAAGAAGGUUUUCGGAUCGUAAAGCUCUGUUGUAAGAGAAGAACGGGUGUGAGAGUGGAAAGUUCACACUGUGACGGUAUCUUACCAGAUAGGGACGGCUAACUACGUGCCAGCAGCCGCGGUAAUACGUAGGUCCCGAGCGUUGUCCGGAUUUAUUGGGCGUAAAGCGAGCGCAGGCGGUUAGAUAGUCUGAAGUUAAAGACUGUGGCUUAACCAUAGUAUGCUUUGGAAACUGUUUAACUUGAGUGCAGAAGGGGAGAGUGGAAUUCCAUGUGUAGCGGUGAAAUGCGUAGAUAUAUGGAGGAACACCGGUGGCGAAAGCGGCUCUCUGGUCUGUAACUGACGCUGAGGCUCGAAAGCGUGGGGAGCAAAUAGGAUUAGAUACCCUGGUAGUCCACGCCGUAAACGAUGAGUGCUAGGUGUUAGGCCCUUUCCGGGGCUUAGUGCCGCAGCUAACGCAUUAAGCACUCCGCCUGGGGAGUACGACCGCAAGGUUGAAACUCAAAGGAAUUGACGGGGGCCCGCACAAGCGGUGGAGCAUGUGGUUUAAUUCGAAGCAACGCGAAGAACCUUACCAGGUCUUGACAUCCCUCUGACCGCUCUAGAGAUAGAGUUUUCCUUCGGGACAGAGGUGACAGGUGGUGCAUGGUUGUCGUCAGCUCGUGUCGUGAGAUGUUGGGUUAAGUCCCGCAACGAGCGCAACCCCUAUUGUUAGUUGCCAUCAUUCAGUUGGGCACUCUAGCGAGACUGCCGGUAAUAAACCGGAGGAAGGUGGGGAUGACGUCAAAUCAUCAUGCCCCUUAUGACCUGGGCUACACACGUGCUACAAUGGCUGGUACAACGAGUCGCAAGCCGGUGACGGCAAGCUAAUCUCUGAAAGCCAGUCUCAGUUCGGAUUGUAGGCUGCAACUCGCCUACAUGAAGUCGGAAUCGCUAGUAAUCGCGGAUCAGCACGCCGCGGUGAAUACGUUCCCGGGCCU